GAGUAGGGAACCAAACACAGAACUGCACCUCGCUCCAUGGGGGAAAACAGAUGGGGGGGGGAAAGCAUGUACAUUUCUGUUGCAUAUUUAACUCGCUCCAUGGGGGAAAACAGAUGGGGGGGAAGAAUGUACAUUUCUGUUGCAUAUUUAAUACACCGUUAAAGUGAGAAUCUGGGAGAGGAAAGAGGGGAAAAAAGCAAACCCACCUUUGCUCAGGCCUUGCUUGAGUGGCCCUUUUGUUUCCCUCCCUGCGUGCAUUCACCCCUUUCUCUGUCUUUGUUUUACUCCUUGUUUGGGGUGCUUCCUGAGGCCACGGCAAGAGAGACUGGGAGAGGGAGAGGGAGAGAGGUGUGCGCACCCCGUAACACCUGAUGCGACCGACCGUUGUGAAGGCAAGCAGAAGGGGGGGGGGAAGCUGGAAGGAAGCAAGUGUGCCGUGAGCUUGACAGAUGUCUGUAUUCAUUUAUAUUGGCGGCACGUGGGGGCCGUUUGCUGGUCUCCCUUACUUCUCUUGCGCUCUCCCAGUGAGGGACAACGAGAAGGCAGUUUGCAGCCGACAAUGAAAUCUUGGCAGUUAAUUGCAGUCGUGGGAGAUGCCCUUCAGGACACUAAAGUGGACUGCGGCUCUUGUGUAGAAACAGACAACAGAAUAGUAAGUCCUUGACUGACAACAAAUCAUUACAUUAUUAGAAUGUUUUUAAAAGGAGUGCAGUGAAAAAGGCUUCUCCUUUAUACAGUAUUUCUAAGGAUUCGUGAUGUGCAUAUGGUUGUUGUUGUUGUUUUCUCCUGAGUAAGGUUCAAGGAAAUCGUGUGCCUUUAUAAAGAAGUGGAAGUCUUCUUUUUACCAUGGAUUUUUCUUUGGGUGCUGUGUGUUGACGGCUCUUGUUCAAAAGGAGAGUUUGGGGAAAUCUCAGAGAUGGCUUUUGGUUUCCAUUGUGUCUUGAAUGUUGUUGUUUUAAUAAUGUUAUGUGACAACCCUGGUAUAGAAAAGCCAAGUAAAUAAAUAAUUGCCAACAUGAUGGUUGCA
rnacentral:lncRNA from 1 species